rnacentral:rRNA from 1 species
CAAAGAACUUUGAAGAGAGAGUUCAAGAGAACGUGAAAUCGUUGAAGUGGAACCGGAGAGAGUUGACGAAGCAGGUGUGGUGAAGACGUUCGUGAUUGCUUGCGAGAAGUGAUUUCGUUUGUUGGAUCUGCUUUGGCUGCGUUGGUGGGGUAUUGGUGUCAGUUGAAGCGUGUAGCGUUGCCCACACUUGUGUGGUGUCUUGUUAGCGUGAAAAUUGAUUGCUAGUAGCUUAUAGCUUUGCUUGCAAAGUGCCAACGUUCAAGUCGACCACCUUUCCGACCCGUCUUGAAACACGGACCGAGGAGUGUAGCUAGUGCGCGAGUCAAAGGGUGUCAACCCCCAUGGCGAAAUGAAAGUAAAGGCCAGUUAACUGGUUUAACAUAGGAGUUGUUCGUUGGAGCAAUGCACUAUGGCCCUGUCUUGAAAGCUUGCUUUCGGGCAGAGGAAGAGCGUACUGGUUGCGACCCGAAAGAUGGUGAACUAUGCUUGAGCAGGACGAAGCCAGAGGAAACUCUGGUGGAAGUCCGUAUCGGUUCUGACGUGCAAAUCGAUCGAUAGACUUGAGUAUAGGGGCGAAAGACUAAUCGAACCAUC